AGCUCCAAUAGCGUAUAUUAAAGUUGCUGCAGUUAAAAAGCUCGUAGUUGCAUUUCCGAGUCAAGGGAUUAGUCCGACCUUUGGUGGGUAUUUAAUCCUCUUGCCUCGUCCUUGAGUGGUGCUUCUUGGUAUUAAGUUAUCGAGGAGAUAGCCGCUCAUCGUUUACUGUGAGAAAAUUAGAGUGUUCAAAGCAGGCUUAUGCCGUUGAAUAUAUUAGCAUGGAAUAAUAAGAUAGGACCUCGGUACUAUUUUGUUGGUUUGAGAACCAAGGUAAUGAUGAAUAGGGACAGUUGGGGGUAUUCGUAUUCAGUUGUCAGAGGUGAAAUUCUUAGAUUUACGGAAGACGAACUACUGCGAAAGCAUUUGCCAAGGAUGUUUUCA
rnacentral:rRNA from 1 species